CUGUGCCUCUAUCAUUGUCAAUAUUUAAAUUAUGUGUUACUUAAUGUAAGAUAUUUGUGGCACAGGAAGUAGGCACUGCUUUCACUCUACCAGCUGAAGGGCAAGGCAGACCUGCUGACAAGUAGGAAAAUCCAGGUUUAUCAGCCCUACUGGUUUAGUGACUUUCCUUGCAUUGAUGCUUUGAGCAAGUAAUUCUAAGAAUGUGACUUUUUAAAUGUAUGCUGUUGGGCUGCUUUAUGCAGGAUGUUGAGUCAGACUCACACAUAGUGUUAUUACUGAGGUCUGCAACUGCAGACCCGGAGAAGGAAAAGGGAAAAUUUCUUUGUGUGCAGUUAGGAAGGAAAUACAGGUGCAAGGCCCUGUGAACAAUAAAGAAAGGUGUGAAAACAAGGGGAAAACACUGCCUCAGCAGCUGUUGUGAAAGAAUGGAGAGCUGCAAAUAACAGCCCCUCUGUGCUGCUAAGGUUGAAGAGCAGAAGUACCAAUGCACAGCACAACAGCCUGCAUUCAGUUCCAGAUACCAGGAUUGCGUAGCCCACACGUAGAGUCACGCUGGCAUACGUAAAAUAUAGCCCAAUCAAGCUGGUGAAACAACCCAGAUUUUAGAGAUGAAGGUCUCUAAACUGGGAGAGAGCUGCUGCUGACCCGCAGACUGUUAAAGCCCAUGACUGUUUGCUCCAGCACUGCAGUUGCUAUGGCAAUUCAUAUAGACAAAAGCAGUAACCUUUCAGGUUACAACCAGGUAAAAAACU